UACGUAGGGUGCGAGCGUUAAUCGGAAUUACUGGGCGUAAAGCGUGCGCAGGCGGUUCGUUAUGUCCGAUGUGAAAGCCCCGAGCUCAACUUGGGAAUGGCAUUGGAAACUGGCGGGCUGGAGUGUGGCAGAGGGGGGUGGAAUUCCACGUGUAGCAGUGAAAUGCGUAGAGAUGUGGAGGAACACCGAUGGCGAAGGCAGCCCCCUGGGCCAACACUGACGCUCAGGCACGAAGGCCAGGGGAGCAAACAGG
rnacentral:rRNA from 1 species